UGAACACAUCAUAAGCAAGAAGAGUCAGUUAAAGCAGAUUACCAACAAAAGUUUCUUGCUGUCCCAGAGAUUGCCUGAGCCUGAUACCAAGUACAACAGCCCUUUCUCUUUGGAGAUCCAGUAUAAUGGUUUACACUUCACUGCUCACAAGUACAAGAAAGUGCUGUGUUUAUAGUGAAUGGACCAUGUUGGGACUUGAGGACCACAGUUUAGUUACAGAACAGG